AGCCAGACAAUGCAGUUUCGUUAAUUAAUACUGAUAUUACUGUUGAUAUAUGUGAACGUAAAACUGUAGGAACACAAAAUAAUAUAUAUUUUAAUAAACACGAUAAUACAUCAUAUGAAAUUAUUGAACAAGUAGAAGGUCCUAUUAUUCAUAAUACAAUUUUUAAAGAAAUGAAAAAAUAUAAAUAUAUAAUUAAUUCUAAUAUUUUAGAUUUAUUAAAAAAAGAUAAAAUUAAUAUACUUUUAUCAUUACAAUCAAACAAUAUAAACGAUUUUAUUAUUUUUAUUUCAUUCCCACCAUAUGACUUAGUAUCUGAAGCUGUUCAUCAUUUACAUUUCGAUGACUGCAAUAAUAAUAUUAUCAUAAACAAAGAUGUAAUCUAUAAUUCUUUACGUUUACAUUUUAUUUGUUUUCAACAGGAAGAAUAUAAAAAGAUAAGUGAUUGGUCAAGUGAUGGGUUAAAUAAUGGGAGAAAUGAUGGGAGUAAUAACGGGAUAAAUAAUGGGAUAAACAACAACACAAGUGAUAAAACAAAAAAUGAAUUACUAGAAUUUAUGUUGGAUAAAUAUUUUCCACAUAUAAUGUACAUAGGUAUUCAAUCUACAACACAAACCGAAUUACUUUUUAGUUUAUCUUCAACGUUAGAUUAUAAAAAUUAUAAUUUAAAUUGUAACUACAACUCUAAUAACAGUACCAAUAUUAGUAGCACUAAAACAUGUGAUACUAUUGGUAACAUUUCCGAUAAUAAGAGUAGUAGUAAUGUUACUACAACACAUAAUAAUAACAUUAAUAAAAACUGUGAGUAUGUAAAAUGCGAAAACUGUUUAAAAGAUAUAUUAGCUUCUAAUAUUUAUAUGCAUAAAAUACAUUGUUUAAAAAAUAUAACAAUUUGUAAUAUAUGUAAAAAAAGCUUUACAAAAAAAAAUAUCUCUAAUCAUAUACACUGUAAUAUUUGUAAUGAAGGUUUAAAUAAAGAUGAACAAAAUAAACAUAACAUUAUUUGGCAUAAAAAAAUAAGAUGUAUUUGUCAUAAAUAUUUUUAUAAAAAAC
rnacentral:lncRNA from 1 species